GAGACAAGCCAUGGUUUGCAGAGAGAUUUAUCAAUAAUAUCAAAGGAAGAGGAGUGUUUGCUACCGAACCAAUCGAGCAAGGUUCUUUUGUGUUGGAGUACAGAGGUGAAUUCAUAUCAGCAGAAGAAUGCCAGUCAAGGAACUACUCAGAGACACAGAGUGCAUUUCUGUAUGAGUUUGAUUGGAAGAAAAGCCAGUGGUGUAUUGAUGCAUCCAAGGAAGACGGCUCCCUUGGAAGAUUAGUGAAUGACAACCACAAAUAUCCGAACUGCAUCAUGAAAAAAGUUAUAGUAAACAACAGGCCACAUUUGUGUCUGUUUGCUGUGAGGAACAUAGAAGUAGGAAUGGAACUUGAUUACAACUAUGGUGAUUCAAAAUGGCCAUGG